CUGAGAGCACUCUUGUGUCAUGCUGCCCAAGUAACCUUCAGCUGCUGCACAGUGUACUAAUGUAGGAUACAAGUCCACAGAAUCCAAGCCACACUGUCUGAAAGCCAAAGAGGGCAAGGCAGGCCAGGCCACCUGAGCCGCUCACCCUGGAGAUGAAGGCUCUGCUUACAAGACCAGUUAAUGAAUAGAACUCAAGUCCAUUGUGUAUGUCUUAAUUAGAUUCGGAAUAUCUGAAUUUACCAUUGUCAGGUAAGAAAAUGUCCUAAAAUGGGAGACGC
rnacentral:lncRNA from 1 species